rnacentral:rRNA from 1 species
UACAGAGGUCCCGAGCGUUGUUCGGAUUCACUGGGCGUAAAGGGUGCGUAGGUGGCGUGGUAAGUUUGAUGUGAAAGCUCAGGGCUUAACCCUGAAAUGGCAUUGAAUACUACUGUGCUGGAGGUUUGGAGGGGGGACUGGAAUUCUUGGUGUAGCAGUGAAAUGCGUAGAUAUCAAGAGGAACACCAGUGGCGAAGGCGAGUCCCUGGACAACACCUGACACUGAGGCACGAAGGCCAGGGGAGCAAACGGG